UCCAUCCAUUGACUUUUUUCCAAACUUUCAAACAUGUAAAGAUAAAACUGUCAUGUAAGUUAUGUAAAAUUACAUAUUUUUAUGUAGAAACAUUACAUUUUCAUAUGUCUAACUCUAAAACUAAAGCAAAAUACUGAUCUGAAUAUGAAUAGACUUGAAUAGUGACUGAUUAAGUAAAAACUAAACAGAGCUUUUCUAUUCAUCUAACCUUAGUGCUGCUAGUUUAUUAGUUGUGUUGCUCUAACCAGGUUGCUUCAAUCUGUUUAUAAGUGAUAUUUUCAUCUGUUUGAACUAAAAUAUUCAGUUUUAGUCAAUAUUAAAGUGAAGAGUUCGUGCAAAGUGUUCUUUUGCUGCUAAAAAAAAAAUAAAAUAAAAUGACAAGGGAUUACCCAUAAAUCUGUUAGCCUCUGAUCUAAUGGGUGGAAAGCCUGAUUUACAGAUGAUUUCAAGUGAAUUAUAAAACAAAUUAAGAUGAUGACAGUUGAAGUAAUAACUGGAAAACCUGCAGAUAGUGUUUAGUUCAUCUGGAUUUUAUCACUCUUAUGAGGAGGAGUUUCUGGUCAGAUAUGACAACUAAAAGAAAACAGAAACCAGACAAAACUAAACGAAUAUUUUAUAGUUUUGUUGUAACUUGACAUUUCAUAAUAGUUGAGAAAACUGAUUGUGAUUCUACCUCAGAGACCCUCAUAUGACUUUAAACCAGAUCAUAAACCUCCAGGAGCCCAGACCACAAUAAAACCCCUGAAAACCAAGACUAAACUCUGGGUUUUAAUCCCUAAAUGACCUUAUAAACAUUAGAUGAGUAUUUAAUUUAAGUUCAUGUAGUUUUUGAAAGAAAA